rnacentral:rRNA from 1 species
AAUGAACGCUGGCGGCGUGGUUAAGACAUGCAAGUCGAACGGGGACUUCGUGAAGGGCAACCGGAUCGGAAGUUCAGUGGCGAAACGGGUCGCGUAACACGUGAACAAUCUACCUCGAAGUGGGGAAUAGCUCGGCGAAAGCCGAAUUAAUACCGCAUGUGGUCGGGACUCGCAUGAGUUUCGAACUAAAGUCAGGGACCGUAAGGCCUGACGGCUUUGAGGACGGAGUUCGCGGCCUAUCAGCUAGUUGGCGAGGUAACGGCUCACCAAGGCUAAGACGGGUAAGCUGGGUCUGAGAGGAUGAUCAGUCACACUGGAACUGAGACACGGUCCAGACUCCUACGGGAGGCAGCA